rnacentral:rRNA from 1 species
UAUGGUACCAGCAGCCGCGGUAAUACGGAGGAUGCGAGCGUUAUCCGGAUUUAUUGGGUUUAAAGGGAGCGUAGACGGGUUUUUAAGUCAGCUGUGAAAGUUUGGGGCUCAACCUUAAAAUUGCAGUUGAAACUGGAGACCUUGAGUACGGUUGAGGCAGGCGGAAUUCGUGGUGUAGCGGUGAAAUGCUUAGAUAUCACGAAGAACCCCGAUUGCGAAGGCAGCCUGCUAAGCCGCCACUGACGUUGAGGCUCGAAAGUGCGGGUAUCAAACAGG